rnacentral:rRNA from 1 species
AGUGAACGCUGGCGGCAGGCCUAACACAUGCAAGUCGAGCGGCAGCGGGUCCUUCGGGAUGCCGGCGAGCGGCGGACGGGUGAGGAAUGCAUCGGAAUCUGCCCUGUCGUGGGGGAUAACCUAGGGAAACUUAGGCUAAUACCGCAUACGACCCACGGGUGAAAGCGGGGGAUCGCAAGACCUCGCGCGAUAGGAUGAGCCGAUGUCCGAUUAGCUAGUUGGCGGGGUAAAGGCCCACCAAGGCGACGAUCGGUAGCUGGUCUGAGAGGAUGAUCGGCCACACUGGGACUGAGACACGGCCCAGACUCCUACGGGAGGCAGCAGUGGGGAAUAUUGGACAAUGGGCGCAAGCCUGAUCCAGCCAUGCCGCGUGGGUGAAGAAGGCCUUCGGGUUGUAAAGCCCUUUUGUCAGGGAAGAAAUCGUCUGGGCUAAUACCCCGGGCGGAUGACGGUACCGGAAGAAUAAGCACCGGCUAACUUCGUG